ACGCUCGACACCUACGGGGGGCAGCAGUGGGGAAUAUUGCACAAUGGGGGAAACCCUGAUGCAGCGACGCCGCGUGGAGGAAGAAGGUCUUCGGAUUGUAAACUCCUGUUGUUGGGGAAAAAGAGGAUGGUACCCAACAAGGAAGUGACGGCUAACUACGUGCAGCAGCCGCGGUAAUCUGAGCGGGCUGGCAAGGC
rnacentral:rRNA from 1 species